UUCAUAGUGAUACAACAUUCUAGCUUAUUGAUUGGUUCAUAGACUUUCUCAAGAAAAAAAUGGUCAAAGGAGUGGUUCAUAGUGAUACAACAUUCUAGCUUAGAGAGAGCAUCUCUUAUCUUAAUUUGAGCCCCCCCGACAUAUCUAUUUAAACCCCAACACACAACAUAUUUCAUUCAUAUGUCAGUUAAAGAAAUAAACAAAUAAAUAAAAAAUAUUUAAAAAAAAAACCUUAUUUAAAUCAAGAGUAAUACUAUUUUCAAGAGAUAGAAAGAGAGAAAAAUGGCUCAGCUUCAAAGGGUUGAAGGCCAAGCUGAGCUCAAAUGUGAUGCUAACAAGUUUUUUUGAAAUUUGGGGUCAGAACCCGUCCCUUGUAUCUAAAAUGUGCCCUAUUAAAUUUCCAAAAGUUGAGCUUAAUGAAGGGGAGUGUUGGGAUAGAGUUGGUUCUGUCAUCACUUGGAGCUAUGUCAUUGAUGAAAUCGGGGAACAUGCAUUCGUCAAGACUAGAGUUGAAGAAUGUGACAAAGAAAACAAGCUUGUACGCUACAACUAUCUUGGUGGACAUAUGUGGAGUACUACUACAAGACAUUAAAGUCGAAGAUUCAAGCAACUCCAAAGGAUGAAGGUUGCACUGUAAAGUGGAUUCUUGAGUAUGAGAAGAUGAAUGAGAAUGCACCUGAAGCAGAUAUUUACGUCGAUUAUCUUCUUGGCGUUGCUAAAGAUCUCGAUGCUUGUCUUUGCAGUGUUUGAUCAAUGGCAUGCCAAUGUACAUGCCAUUUAUCUUGUCAUGAAUUGCUACUUUGCUAGAUCAUCAUUUGUACAUGCAUGCAUGGUAUAUUACUAACUUAAAUUAUCUACUUGUACUAUUGCUACAAAUUAAAUGUUGCAGCUAAUGGUGUUUGUUUGCUGUAACCUUUAAAAUAUUAAGGGUUAUUAUGCAUAUCAUGUCACAUGCAUGGAUGUAUGUUUUGGACUUUUGGUAGCUUUUAUAAAUAAAGAAACUCUCUUUUAAGUGUUAAAA